rnacentral:sRNA from 1 species
GGUUGCAAACUGCAAUCUCAUCUGGAGCAGAGUACUCUAUGAUUUCAGUGCACAAGUUGGAACACUUGAUAGUUCCAAGAUUUUGCUGGUUAGACUUGCGAUUGGCGGCAUCUUUGUAGGUGAUGUAUGGAAGCCCG